GUGAGAGGAGGCAACGCCUCCAUCGCGCUAUAAUUGGAUGUGAUAGGUUAUGAUUGGAUGUAAUAGGUUAUGAUUGGAUGUGAUCGGUUAUGAUUGGAUGUGAUCGGUUAUGAUUGGAUGUGAUAGGUUCGUUCGAUAAAUCCCGCCUCUUGUUUUCGUGCGAGCUCUCGGCCGGAAUGGACGAAAUGAUGGCGUACUGACUAAUUAUAAAGCCCUGAUCACCAAAGAUGAGUUUUGGCAGCAUUGGAUACCAACAAAACACUCUGUUCACUCUUCAGUGAGCACCUUAUAUCAGCAUCUAGGCCUCAGGAAAGAAAAGAAGGACUUAAAUAGUAACUGCACAUCCUGAGACUUCCUUGUGUGGGAUUGAAGGGAGAGGGUGGACUUCUUUGAUGACUAGGUCUGUUUUGACAUUCCAGGAACAAUACCUACUUACUGCUUCUAAGAAAAGUGUAGCUUAAAAAAGCCACUUUAGUGGAAACAUUGUAGGCUCCAAAAAAAGUGUCCACGUCAUGGAAGGCCACAGGACAUCUUUUAAUUAUGUCUAGUAGCUGGCAAUUGGGGAAGAGGAAGCCCUAUCAUGGCAGGAAAGAUAGGAGAUGCACUUAAAGGCACUGGAUCAAGAGAGCAGCACUUAAAGAGAGGACUCUUUAACAGAAGUGGAGGUAGAUUACCCUGUCACUACCUCUAUGUCUUUUGCUUUUUUAAUCACACCAUGCCCUAAAAUUGUGCUAUUCUUUCAUUUUCACAGUAAAAUAUAUCAGUAAUGCUUUAUAUAAAGGGCCUUCAUAAGCAUUGCAUAAAUCUUUGCUGUGGUAUAAAUUAUUUUAAUGCUACGAAGUGCUUAAAAAAAAUUAAAAAUUAUUUUAUGCUACGAACUAAGUAGUAAGAUUUAUGAAUAUCUUAUGUAUGUGCUAUAAAGGCACUAUGUAGGUGCCCUUCAAAUAAAAUGCUACCGAAGAAUCUU